rnacentral:rRNA from 1 species
CAGCCGCCACGGGAACACGUAGGGUGCGAGCGUUAAUCGGAAUUACUGGGCGUAAAGCGUGCGCAGGCGGUUUUGUAAGACAGGCGUGAAAUCCCCGGGCUCAACCUGGGAAUGGCGCUUGUGACUGCAAAGCUAGAGUGCGGCAGAGGGGGAUGGAAUUCCGCGUGUAGCAGUGAAAUGCGUAGAUAUGCGGAGGAACACCGAUGGCGAAGGCAAUCCCCUGGGCCUGCACUGACGCUCAUGCACGAAAGCGUGGGGAGCAAACAGGAUUAGAUACCCCCGUAGUCCCUGUCUCUUAUAC